UACGUAGGGUGCAAGCGUUGUCCGGAAUUAUUGGGCGUAAAGAGCUCGUAGGUGGCUCGUCACGUCGGGUGUGAAAGCCCGGGGCUUAACCCCGGGUCUGCAUUCGAUACGGGCGGGCUAGGGUCCUGUAGGGGAGACUGGAAUUCCUGGUGUAGCGGUGAAAUGCGCAGAUAUCGGGAGGAACACCGGUGGCGAAGGCGGAUCUCUGGGCCUUGCCUGACGCUGAGGCGCGAAAGCUAGGGGAGCGAACAGG
rnacentral:rRNA from 1 species